GGGGGUGUCCCGGUUUCGACGGGAUCGCGAAAUCUUGUACUGCAAGUAGGAGUGAAGGUUCCUUAAACUGACAAACAAAUAACUGCAAUUUUCGCAAGAAAAGAAGAAGAAGCUGAAGAAGUUUCUUCUGCAGAAGCACUCGCUGCAUAGCAGUGCAGGAACUCUUGGGGCUCUGUUCCGCGUCUUAAGAUGUUCCUUCACCUAUCGGGACUUGCCUGUUACAGCUUCUGAAAUGUAACGGGGACUCUUUUUCAGAAUACGGAGGCGACGCUUGUUAUGCUGCUACCGGCUCCCGACAACCACCUCGCAUAACUAAACCUGUAGAUGUACCUGGUUUACUUUCCCGGACAGGAGUUCAAUUCUCCUCACCUCCAAAA
rnacentral:tmRNA from 1 species